rnacentral:rRNA from 1 species
CUGAUCAGCNUGCCGCGUGUGUGAGAAGGCCUUAUGGUUGUAAAGCACUUUAAGUGGGGAGGAAAAGCUUAUGGAUAAUACCCAUAGGUUCUGACGUUACCCACAGAAUAAGCACCGGCUAACUCUGUGCCAGCAGCCGCGGUAAUACAGAGGGUGCGAGCGUUAAUCGGAAUUACUGGGCGUAAAGCGAGCGUAGGUGGUUUAUUAAGUCAGAUGUGAAAUCCCUGGGCUUAACCUAGGAACUGCAUCUGAUACUGAUAAACUAGAGUAGGUGAGAGGAAAGUAGAAUUCCAGGUGUAGCGGUGAAAUGCGUAGAUAUCUGGAGGAAUACCGAUGGCGAAGGCAGCUUUCUGGCAUCAUACUGACACUGAGGUUCGAAAGCGUGGGUAGCAAACA